GCACUGCCGAGGAGUUCCACAAUAGAACGAAAUGGACGUCCAGUGC
rnacentral:hammerhead_ribozyme from 1 species